GGAACUCCAACAUCAUCAUCUAAAAUCAAGAACAGAUGAGAGAUGUUCCCAUUGCAUGUUGCGCCUUCUCCCUUAGUGACUGGGGACUGGGUCAGGACUGUUCUUCAAUCACAGACCUUCAGGUCCCCGACAAAACUCCCUGAGAAUGUCCUUGGGACAAACCCUGCAGGGACAAGGCUGCUUCUUGCCCGUGCUGCCCUCUGGUGCCCAGUGAAGUUCCCGAUGAUCAGUGACACCCUCUGAUGAUCAAUAAAUCCCUCAGCAAAGCUA